UACGUAGGGUGCAAGCGUUGCCCGGAUUUAUUGGGCGUAAAGCGCACGUAGGCGGUUCGUUAUGUCGGAUGUGAAAGCCCUUGGCUUAACCGAGGAAGUGCAUCCGAAACUGGCGAGCUAGAGUACGAAAGAGGAUCGCGGAAUUCCCGGUGUAGAGGUGAAAUUCGUAGAUAUCGGGAGGAACACCGGUGGCGAAGGCGGCGAUCUGGGUCGAUACUGACGCUGAGGUGCGAAAGCGUGGGGAGCAAACAGG
rnacentral:rRNA from 1 species